CUAAGGGUGUACGGUGGAUGCCCUGGCAUCAGGAGGCGAAGAAGGGCGUAGUUAGCUGCGAUAAGCCUCGGGGAGCCGCAAGCAGGCCGUGAUCCGAGGAUGCCCGAAUGGGGAAACCCAGGCGAUGAAUGCCGCCUAUCCUUCACUGAAUACAUAGGUGGAGAGAAGCCCACGCAGGGAAGUGAAACAUCUCAGUACCUGCAGGAAAAGAAAGCAAAUGCGAUUCCCUUAGUAGUGGCGAGCGAAAAGGGAAUAGCCCAAACCACACUUAUGCCAAGCUCGUACGCGUUGUAUGUGUGGGGUUGUAGGCCUCAGUUAGAUGGUGAUACGACACUGUCGACGAGUUACAAACUAAGAUCAUAGUAGAACGGUCUGGAAAGGCCGGCCAAAGAAGGUGAUAGCCCUGUAGACGAAAUGCUCUUAGCUCGUUGAAUUGAGGUCCUGAGUACCACGGGGCUCGAGAAACCCUGUGGGAAUCCGGGACGACCACGUUCCAAGGCUAAAUACUACCUGAUGACCGAUAGCGUACCAGUACCGUGAGGGAAAGGUGAAAAGAACCCCGGUGAGGGGAGUGAAAUAGAACCUGAAACCGUAUACCUACAAGCAGUGAAAGGGCUAUGCCCCGCAAGGGGAAUGCCUGAUCACGUGCCUUUUGCUUAAUGAGCCUGCGAGUUUUUCGGCGCAGCAAGGUUAAGGCGAAAAGCCGGAGCCGUAGCGAAAGCGAGUCCGAAAUGGGCGAGUAGUUGCGUCGAAAAGACCCGAAGCGAAGUGAUCUACCCAUGGCCAGGGUGAAUCCGCUGUAACAGGCGGAGGAGGCCCGAACCGGUGUUUGUUGCAAAAAGCUCGGAUGAGCUGUGGGUAGGAGUGAAAGGCUAAUCAAACUUCGUUAUUGCUGGUUCUCCCCGAAAUAGCUAGAGGGCUAGCCUCGGUACAGCCGUGGCGGAGGUAGAGCACUGAAUGAGCUAGGGGCGUUCCAACGCUACCGAACUCUAUCAAACUCCGAAUGCCGCCACUGGACGACCGGGAGUCAGACUAUGGGUGCUAAGAUCCGUGGUCGAGAGGGAAAUAGCCCAGACCGCCAGCUAAGGUCCCGAAUCGUGAGCUAAGUGGGAAAGGUUGUGAGGUCGCUCAGACAGCCAGGAGGUUGGCUUAGAAGCAGCCAUCCUUUAAAGAGUGCGUAAUAGCUCACUGGUCGAGCGAACUUGCGCCGAAAAUUUAACGGGGCUUAAGUUCACAACCGAAGCUGCGGACUUCUCUCGCAAGAGAGGAGUGGUAGGGGAGCAUUCUCUGUGCAGUGAAGGUAGACCGACAAGGACUGCUGGAGCGCAGAGAAGAGAUUAUGCAGGCAUAAGUAGCGAUAAACGAUGUGAGAAUCAUCGUCCCCGUAAGCCUAAGGUUUCCUGGCCUAUGUUCGUCAGGUCAGGGUUAGUCGGACCCUAAGCCGAGGCCGAAAGGCGUAGGCGAUGGAAAACAGGUCAACAUUCCUGUACCACCGUGUUAACGUUAUCAGCGAAGGGGGGACGCAGAAGGGUAGGCACCGCCGGGUCGCUGGAAUGCCCGGUCCAAGCAGGUAGGCGGGUCUCGUAGGAAAAUCCGCGGGGCCGUUAACGCCGAGACGCGAUGGGGAGGCCGUAAGGCCAUAAACGGGCUGAUCCCACACUGCCGAGAAAAGCCUCGUAGCGAGUUAGCAUGGUGUCCGUACCGCAAACCGACACAGGUAGGCAGGUAGAAUAUACCAAGGGGCGUGAGAGAACACUCCCUAAGGAACUAUGCAAUCUAGCCCCGUAACUUCGGAAGAAGGGGUACCUCUGUUAGGUGAAGCCGUACAGGCCGAGCCGAGAGAGGUUGCAAUAAAGUGGCUCUAGCGACUGUUUAACAAAAACACAGGACUCUGCAAACACGCAAGUGGAUGUAUAGGGUCUGACGCCUGCCCGGUGCUGGAAGGUUAAAUGGAGGGGUUAGCCGUAAGGCGAGGCUCUGAAAUGAAGCCCCAGUAAACGGCGGCCGUAACUAUAACGGUCCUAAGGUAGCGAAAUUNNAGUGACUCAGCGAAUUUGUUGUUCCGGUGAAGAAGCCGGGUGCCCGCAACUAGACGGAAAGACCCUGUGCACCUUUACUACAACUUGACAUUGGGUGUUGGACGGGUAUGUGUAGGAUAGGUGGGAGGCUGUGAGGCGGGGGCGCUAGUUCCCGCGGAGCCAACCUUGAAAUACCACCCUUAUUUUUCUGACAUUCUAACUCGGCCCUGUAAUCCAGGGCGAAGACAGUGUCUGGUGGGUAGUUUGACUGGGGCGGUCGCCUCCCAAAAAGUAACGGAGGCGCCCAAAGGUUCCCUCAGGCUGGUCGGUAAUCAGCCGUCGAGUGUAAAGGCAAAAGGGAGCUUGACUGCGAGACUGACAGGUCGAGCAGAGACGAAAGUCGGGCUUAGUGAUCCGGUGGUUCCAAGUGGAAGGGCCAUCGCUCAACGGAUAAAAGGUACGCCGGGGAUAACAGGCUGAUCUCCCCCAAGAGUUCACAUCGACGGGGAGGUUUGGCACCUCGAUGUCGACUCAUCGCAUCCUGGGGCUGAAGCAGGUCCCAAGGGUCGGGCUGUUCGCCCGUUAAAGCGGUACGAGAGUUGGGUUCAGAACGUCGUGAGACAGUUCGGUCCCUAUCUGUUGUGGGCGGAGGAGAUUUGAGAGGGCCGUUCACUAGUACGAGAGGACUGUGAAGGACGGACCUCUGGUUUGCCGGUUGUCGCGCCAGCGGCAGUGCCGGGUAGCUACGUUCGGUUGGGAUAACCGCUGAAAGCAUCUAAGCGGGAAGCCUGCCUCAAGAUUAGAUCUCCCGGACCUUUAGGUCCCUAAAGGCCACUCGAAGACUACGAGUUUGAUAGGCUGGGUGUGGAAACCCUGUAAAGGGCGAAGCUUACCAGUACUAAUCGGCCGUGCGGCUUAACA
rnacentral:rRNA from 1 species